GAAAGGGAGAUUUGGACGAAGGCCUUGGGAACCCGGUCAGAUUCGGAAGAAAGCAGCCGCACCAAGUGUUCUCUCGGGUCAAGUUUAUCCCUUUCCCG
rnacentral:SRP_RNA from 1 species